rnacentral:rRNA from 1 species
GAUGAACGCUGGCGGCGUGCCUAAUACAUGCAAGUCGAGCGAACGGACGAGAAGCUUGCUUCUCUGAUGUUAGCGGCGGACGGGUGAGUAACACGUGGAUAACCUACCUAUAAGACUGGGAUAACUUCGGGAAACCGUAGCUAAUACCGGAUAAUAUUUUGAACCGCAUGGUUCAAAAGUGAAAGGCGGUCUUGCUGUCACUUAUAGAUGGAUCCGCGCUGCAUUAGCUAGUUGGUAAGGUAACGGCUUACCAAGGCAACGAUGCAUAGCCGACCUGAGAGGGUGAUAGGACAAACUGGAACUGAGACAAGGUCCAGACUCCUAAGGGAGGCAGCAGUAGGGAAUCUUCCGCAAUGGGCGAAAGCCUGAAGGAGCAACGCCGCGUGAGUGAUGAAGGUCUUCGGAUAGGAAAAAUCUGUUAUUAGGGAAGAACAUAUGUGUAAGUAACUGUGCACAUCUUGAAGGUACCUAAUCGGAAAGCCACGGCUAACUACGUG